GAUGAACGCUGGCGGCGUGCCUAAUACAUGCAAGUCGAGCGAACAGAUGAGGAGCUUGCUCCUCUGACGUUAGCGGCGGACGGGUGAGUAACACGUGGAUAACCUACCUAUAAGACUGGGAUAACUUCGGGAAACCGGAGCUAAUACCGGAUAAUAUAUUGAACCGCAUGGUUCAAUAGUGAAAGACGGUUUUGCUGUCACUUAUAGAUGGAUCCGCGCCGCAUUAGCUAGUUGGUAAGGUAACGGCUUACCAAGGCAACGAUGCGUAGCCGACCUGAGAGGGUGAUCGGCCACGCUGGAACUGAGACACGGUCCAGACUCCUACGGGAGGCGGCAGUAGGGAAUCUUCCGCAAUGGGCGAAAGCCUGACGGAGCAACGCCGCGUGAGUGAUGAAGGUCUUCGGAUCGUAAAACUCUGUUAUUAGGGAAGAACAAAUGUGUAAGUAACUAUGCACGUCUUGACGGUACCUAAUCAGAAAGCCACGGCUAACUACGUG
rnacentral:rRNA from 1 species